rnacentral:rRNA from 1 species
ACUCAAAUGAAUUGACGGGGGCCCGCACAAGCGGUGGAGCAUGUGGUUUAAUUCGACGCAACGCGAAGAACCUUACCGGGGCUUGACAUCCUACGACAUCCUAAGAGAUUAGGUUUUCUAGCAAUAGAACGUAGAGACAGGUGCUGCAUGGCUGUCGUCAGCUCGUGCCGUGAGGUGUUGGGUUAAGUCCCGCAACGAGCGCAACCCUUGUCGUGUGUUGGUAGGAAACUAUCUCUCACGCGAGACCGCCGGUGACAAGCCGGAGGAAGGUGGGGAUGACGUCAAGUCAGCAUGGCCCUUACGUCCCGGGCUACACACGUGCUACAAUGGGGAGGACAGCGAGUCGCAAACCCGCAAGGGUAAGCCAAUCUCUUAAACCUCUCCUCAGUUCGGAUUGAAGGCUGCAACUCGCCUUCAUGAAGUCGGAAUCGCUAGUAAACGCAGAUCAGCUACGCUGCGUUGAAUACGUUCCCGGGCCUUGUACACACCGCCCGU